rnacentral:rRNA from 1 species
UACGUAGGGACCGAGCGUUGUCCGGAAUCAUUGGGCGUAAAGAGCGUGUAGGCGGCUUGUUAAGUCUUGCGUGAAAUCUCGGGGCUCAACCCCGAGCGGUCGUGAGAAACUGGCAGGCUAGAGUGCGGGAGAGGAGAGUGGAAUUCCUGGUGUAGCGGUGAAAUGCGCAGAUAUCAGGAAGAACACCCGUGGCGAAGGCGGGUCUCUGGGCAGUAACUGACGCUGAGGAGCGAAAGCGUGGGGAGCGAACAGG